rnacentral:rRNA from 1 species
CCGUGCAAAGGUAGCAUAAUCAUUUGCCUAUUAAUUGUAGGCUAGAAUGAAAGGACAAACGAGAAUAUCCCUGUCUCCUUUAAGACACUAAAAAUUUAUCUUUAAGUGAAGAAGCUUAAAUUUCUAUGCAGGACAAGAAGACCCUAUAGAGCUUUACCUAAAAAUUGCAAUAUUGGCAAAUAAGGGUUCGGUUGGGGCGACCAGGGGAUAUUUAUCACCCCUAAUAACUUAGACCCACCGGUCAUUAAAAGAUCCUUACUUAAGAUCAACGAAUCAAGCUACCUUAGGGAUAACAGGCUAAUCCUCUUAGAGAGCCCUUAUCGACAAGAGGGGUU